GCAGCUCCUUGUGCAUGAAAAGAAGAAACUGCUGUGGAUGGAGAAUACUGACACCAGGACCAACAACCUACUGUCAACCCACUGCCAUGAUAAGCAUCAAUUAAAAGCUAAUAACACAGGAAUUGGGCUCAAGUUAUGCUAUUUGGCUUCAUUCUUGUGCAACUGCUCAGUAUUGAGAAAAGUGGAGGUUCAUCAUUCCAAUGGGCUGCUAAGCCCCAAAAGAGUGCAGGAAAGCCUUCAGAGCACUGCAGCUCGGAGCUCAUACGCGACCUCUUUGCAGCUUGUGGUCAGUGCUGUUCCUUUCCUUGCCAAACUUGUCUUGUUAUGGAUGCUAAGAAGUCUUUUUGCUUUCCAUGAUAAAAUUAUGGACUAUCUGAAG
rnacentral:lncRNA from 1 species